CCUACGGGUGGCUGCAGUGGGGAAUAUUGGACAAUGGGCGCAAGCCUGAUCCAGCAAUGCCGCGUGUGUGAAGAAGGCCUUCGGGUUGUAAAGCACUUUUAUCAGGAGCGAAAUACUACCGGCUAAUACCCGGUGGGGCUGACGGUACCUGAGGAAUAAGCACCGGCUAACUUCGUGCCAGCAGCCGCGGUAAUACGAAGGGUGCAAGCGUUAAUCGGAGCGUGUGGGCGUGAAGCGUUAAUUGUGCGGUGAAAUCCCCGGGCUCAACCUGGGAAUGGCAGUGGAUACUGGCAAGCUAGAGUGUGUCAGAGGAUGGUGGAAUUCCCGGUGUAGCGGUGAAAUGCGUAGAGAUCGGGAGGAACAUCAGUGGCGAAGGCGGCCAUCUGGGACAACACUGACGCUGAGGCACGAAAGCGUGGGGAGCAAACAGGAUUAGAUACCCCAGUAGUC
rnacentral:rRNA from 1 species